CUUCACUGGAUUUCAGGUCCCAAAGAACUGCAAACUGUGACCUACUGAAGGAAGCUCUGCCACUUGUUUCAUGUCUCACUGGCCUCUGAAGUAUUUCAACUCUCCAACAGCUGAAUUUCUUGUGUAUUGUGGUCUGAGUGUGAAAUACCAGCAGAAGUCCUGCGUUACACAAGAAAUGAAGUGACAAUCACAAAAUGCCAUUGAAAUAAAUGUUGAAAGGUACUAACAUGAGUGGAAUCAGGAUUUUGUCCUGCACUCUACAUCAAAGACUCGUCAGCUCUCAUCUAAUUAGCACAGAGCACCACUUUUUCCUUUCCACUUCUGCUGACAACUGAAUGAUCUUCACUGUUGGAAUUAAUUUGAAAAAUGUAUACGUCAAAAUUAUUCCAGAUUCGGCAACAAGAUGAGAUCUGAAUCAGAAUGUACUGUCUGAAUGCAAUACAUAAUAAGAAGAAAUGACAUCUCUGAUCAGGCUACAAGAUAUCCAGACUUAUCUCUGAGACAAAAAUGAGCUGCACUGCUCCUAAAAUACAAAGAAUUGCAAAGCACAAGCAAAUCAGAGGUUCUUCUUUUUCCAAGCCAACACCAGUUUCUUGGAGCUAUUUCUGCUCUCCUGAAUUGUAGAACCUGCAGGACUGAUAUUACAAAUCUAACAAGAAGCAGUUCAUUGGGUUUUUCUGUAUUAAUUCAAAGAGCUUGUAGGGUCUCAAUUACACCAAAGAUAGCUUUCAGACCCCCCACAUAUCUGCAGUCUUUUUGUGGUUUUGGGUAUUUGAGAUUGUGGAAUACUUUGAGGAUGGAAGUGAGAAUAAGGAACUCCCAGCCAUGUGCCUGCUUAAGAACACAGUGCCUGUAAAAAGCCAAGAUAUUCCAUAUACAAGAAUAUUAAUUCCCCAAAAUGUGGCCAGGAAGGAGAUUUGGCUCUAUAAUGGAUUUUAUAUGUACAUCCCUUCUCCUCAGACAUCCUGAGGGCUAAAGGGUACAAAACAGCAGAGAGGAUGAUGAGAUUCAUCUCUUCAAACAUCAUCUAUGUGGCACAGCAGCUGGAACCUCGCUGGCUUGGGCAGCACCUCAGGAGCCCCCAGAGUUCCCCACAGCCUUUUCCCUGCUCCUCCUGCACAAGGACAGCUCAGUGACCACAUCCUGCAGCUCCAUAAGCUGCAUAAUUUGAAAUAAGAGAAGAGGUUUCCCUUCCCAUCAUCCCAGCAUAGAAGGAUGUGAGCAGAGCUGGGUGGCAGGGCAGGGAGCUGAGCUCAGGGUCCUCCUUUACAUUUUUCCCAGCCUCUUUUUCCUGCUCCUUCACCUGUAAAAUGGGAGUGAGCACUGGAGCUGGGAAGGAAAGCAAACAUGAAAAUCAGAUGGGCCAUUGCCAGAACAGCUCCUGAGUAUCAGAAAUUCUCAAUGUGCACACGAGGC
rnacentral:lncRNA from 1 species